rnacentral:misc_RNA from 1 species
AAAAAAAAAAAAAAAAAAAGAGGUUAAGCUAAGGUAGCCAAGCAUGUUGAAGCUUGACCAAAGUGAAUAUGAGUCAACAAGGUUUUUAACUGAAUGACUAAUGGUCAAAAUAUAGCUUAAAUUGUUGAUCGAAAAGGAUCAUGACAGCUAUUUUCUUUUGCAGUGAAAGAGUUAUAGCUUGAUGUCUAUUUUAGAAUCUGCAGCCCAAGAUUCUAAAUAGAAUAUAGAAGUCACUAUUUUAUUUUUUGGCUCGCUGAUGUGAAAAUGCAGAUUUACAAAGCAAACACUGAAAGCUUCCUUGUAAAUAACUAUAAUCACAAUUUUAUGAAAUAAAAGUGAUAAUUGGAACAAAUUUUACUAUUAGCAAAUGGGAGUAACGAGACUUAUAAGCAAUAGCUCUAAGAUGCAUGUUUGCAUAACAGGGUUAUGUAUUGUGAUUCAGAUAUUCGAUCUUAUUCUUGUGAUUAUGUAGCAUAACUCUAUAUAUGCUGCAGGUAUAUUUUAUCACUUCUUAUCCCUUGGUUCUUACUGUUAAAAGUUGUUGCAGGUGAAGCUUGGACUUGGUAUAUCCGACUUGCUUUAUCAUUUAUCUUACUUUCUAUUUUUUCUUCAGUAAAGAAAAUUUCAGGGCAUCUUUGUGCUUUACAAUUUCUUUUACUUAUAUAGUCAGAUUUUGGUUAAUUUAAUAUGUUAUAUUCUUAUCAAUAGGCAUCUGUUCAGAAACCUCAAGA